AUUGAACGCUGGCGGCAGGCUUAACACAUGCAAGUCAAGCGGGGGAAGGUAGCUUGCUACUGGACCUAGCGGCGGACGGGUGAGUAAUGCUUAGGAAUCUGCCUAUUAGUGGGGGACAACAUCUCGAAAGGGAUGCUAAUACCGCAUACGUCCUACGGGAGAAAGCAGGGGAUCUUCGGACCUUGCGCUAAUAGAUGAGCCUAAGUCGGACUAGCUAGUUGGGGGGGUAAAGGCCUACCAAGGCGACGAUCUGUAGCGGGUCUGAGAGGAUGAUCCGCCACACUGGGACUGAGACACGGCCCAGACUCCUACGGGAGGCAGCAGUGGGGAAUAUUGGACAAUGGGGGGAACCCUGAUCCAGCCAUGCCGCGUGUGUGAAGAAGGCCUUAUGGUUGUAAAGCACUUUAAGCGAGGAGGAGGCUACUUUAGUUAAUACCUAGAGAUAGUGGACGUUACUCGCAGAAUAAGCACCGGCUAACUCUGUGCCAGCAGCCGCCGCUG
rnacentral:rRNA from 1 species